rnacentral:rRNA from 1 species
UACGUAGGGUGCGAGCGUUAAUCGGAAUUACUGGGCGUAAAGCGUGCGCAGGCGGUUCGUUGUGUCGGCGGUGAAAGCCCCGGGCUCAACCUGGGAAUGGCCGUUGAAACUGGCGAACUGGAGUGCGGUAGAGGAUGGUGGAAUUCCCGGUGUAGCGGUGAAAUGCGUAGAGAUCGGGAGGAACACCCGUGGCGAAGGCGGCCAUCUGGACCAGCACUGACGCUGAGGCACGAAAGCGUGGGGAGCAAACAGG